UACGUAGGGUGCAAGCGUUAAUCGGAAUUACUGGGCGUAAAGCGUGCGCAGGCGGUUUUGUAAGUCUGUCGUGAAAUUCCCGGGCUUAACCUGGGAAUGGCGAUGGAGACUGCAAGGCUAGAGUUUGGCAGAGGGGGGUAGAAUUCCACGUGUAGCAGUGAAAUGCGUAGAGAUGUGGAGGAACACCGAUGGCGAAGGCAGCCCCCUGGGUCAAGACUGACGCUCAUGCACGAAAGCGUGGGGAGCAAACAGG
rnacentral:rRNA from 1 species